rnacentral:rRNA from 1 species
AUUGAACGCUAGCGGGAUGCCUUACACAUGCAAGUCGAACGGAGUGGCGAACGGGUGAGUAAUGUAUCGGAACGUGCCCAGUAGCGGGGGAUAAAUACGCGAAAGCGUAGCUAAUUCCGCAUACUCUCGGUGCGGUCGAUAUGGGAUUAGCUAGUUGGUGGGGUAACGGCUCACUAAGGCGACGAUCCGUAGCUGGUUUGAGAGGACGACCAGCCACACUGGGACUGAGACACGGCCCAGACUCCUACGGGAGGCAGCAGUGGGGAAUAUUGGACAAUGGGGGAAACCCUGAUGCAGCCAUGCCGCGUGUGCGAAGAAGGCCUUCGGGUUGUAAAGCACUUUUGGCAGGGAGGCGGUACCUGCAGAAUAAGCACCGGCUAACUACGUGCCAGCAGCCGCGGUAAUUC